rnacentral:rRNA from 1 species
GACGAACGCUGGCGGCGUGCUUAACACAUGCAAGUCGAACGGUGAAGGGACUGGUUUUGCUGGUCCUGGAUGAGUGGCGAACGGGUGAGUAACACGUGAGUAACCUGCCCCCUUCUUCUGGAUAACCGCAUGAAAGUGUGGCUAAUACGGGAUAUUCUGGGUCUGUCGCAUGGUGGGCCUGGGAAAGAUUGCGCCUUUUUUGGUGUUUUUGGUGGGGGAUGGGCUCGCGGCCUAUCAGCUUGUUGGUGGGGUGAUGGCCUACCAAGGCGGUGACGGGUAGCCGGCCUGAGAGGGUGGACGGUCACACUGGGACUGAGACACGGCCCAGACUCCUACGGGAGGCAGCAGUGGGGAAUAUUGCACAAUGGGCGCAAGCCUGAUGCAGCGACGCCGCGUGAGGGAUGGAGGCCUUCGGGUUGUGAACCUCUUUCGCCAGUGAAGCAGGCCUGCCUCUUUUUGUGGGUGGGUUGACGGUAGCUGGAUAAGAAGCGCCGGCUAACUACGU